GACGAACGCUGGCGGCGUGCUUAACACAUGCAAGUCGAACGGAAAGGCCCGGCUUUUGUGGGGUGCUCGAGUGGCGAACGGGUGAGUAACACGUGAGUAACCUGCCCUUGACUUUGGGAUAACUUCAGGAAACUGGGGCUAAUACCGGAUAGGAGCUCCUGCUGCAUGGUGGGGGUUGGAAAGUUUCGGCGGUUGGGGAUGGACUCGCGGCUUAUCAGCUUGUUGGUGGGGUAGUGGCUUACCAAGGCUUUGACGGGUAGCCGGCCUGAGAGGGUGAACGGCCACAUUGGGACUGAGAUACGGCCCAGACUCCUACGGGAGGCAGCAGUGGGGAAUAUUGCACAAUGGGCGGAAGCCUGAUGCAGCAACGCCGCGUGCGGGAUGACGGCCUUCGGGUUGUAAACCGCUUUCGCCUGUGACGAAGCGUGAGUGACGGUAAUGGGUAAAGAAGCACCGGCUAACUACGUG
rnacentral:rRNA from 1 species